rnacentral:rRNA from 1 species
UCUCUCACUUUGCCUUCCACCUCCGCUUGCGGUUUAGCGUAAACGCACUAAACCGCAAGCGCGACGGUGGAGGUCGAAGUGAGAGGCUGGGGGAAGUGGCGAAAGGGGCAGUAAUGCGUGGGUAAUCUACCCUGGGGACCGGGAUAGCCAUUCCAACGAGUGGGUAAUACCGGGCAAUGUGGUUGAGGGGCAUCUCUUGGCCGCCAGAUGAAUUUCGCCCUGGGAGGAGCUCACGUCGUAUUAGCUAGUUGGCGGGGUAACGGCCCACCAAGGCAAAGAUGCGUAGCGGGUGUGAGAGCACGACCCGCGCCACUGGCACUGAGACACUGGCCAGACACCUACGGGUGGCUGCAGUCGAGGAUCUUUGGCAAUGAGCGCAAGCUUGACCAAGCGACGCCGCGUGUGCGAUGAAGGCCUUCGGGUUGUAAAGCACUGUCGAGGGGGACGAAGCCGAAAGGUUGACCGAUCCCUGGAGGAAGCACGGGCUAAGUUCGUGCCAGCAGCCGCGGUAAGACGAACCGUGCGAACGUUGUUCGGAAUCACUGGGCUUAAAGGGCGCGUAGGCGGCUCAUCAAGUCGGGGGUGAAAUACUUCAGCUUAACUGGAGAAGUGCCUUCGAUACUGGUGAGCUCGAGGGAGGUAGGGGCAUGUGGAACUUCUGGUGGAGCGGUGAAAUGCGUUGAUAUCAGAAGGAACGCCGGUGGCGAAAGCGACGUGCUGGACCUCUUCUGACGCUGAGGCGCGAAAGCUAGGGGAGCAAACGGGAUUAGAUACCCCGGUAGUCCUAGCCCUAAACGAUGGGUACUAGGUUGUAGACUUGACAUGGGUUUACAGUCGAAGCAAAAGUGUUAAGUA